UGGAAGUGAACCAUCUCAGUACCCGCAGGAAGAGAAAACAACAGUGAUUCCGUGAGUAGUGGCGAGCGAAAGCGGAAGAGGCUAAACCGUAUCCGUGUGAGAGCCGGCAGGCGUUGCGGGUGCGGGGUCGUGGGACCCACCGGUCCGGGCUGCCGCCCGGGCGGGGAGUGAGAAAGUGUCGUGGUUAGCGGAAGGCGUCUGGAAAGCGUCGGCGUAGAGGGUGAGACUCCCGUACGCGAAAACCCGGCAUCUCCUGGUGGGGAUCCCAAGUAGCAGCGAGCCCGUGAAAUUCGCUGUGAAUCCGGCGGGACCACCCGCUAAGCCUGAAUACUCCCUGAUGACCGAUAGCGGACGAGUACCGUGAGGGAAAGGUGAAAAGUACCCCGGGAGGGGAGUGAAAGAGUACCUGAAACCGUGUGCCUACAAGCCGUCAGAGCCUCGGGGUCCCCACGUGUGGGGGCCGGUGGGGUGAUGGCGUGCCUUUUGAAUAAUGAGCCGGCUAGUUA
rnacentral:rRNA from 1 species